AGCGAACGUUUGCGGCGGGCCUAACACAUGCAAGUCGAACGAGAUCUCGGGCUUCGGUCCGGGUGAAAGUGGCGCACGGGUGCGUAACACGUGGGUAAUCAACCCUCUGGAUCGGGGACAACCCGGGGAAACUCGGGCUAAUACCGGAUACGUCGUCGGAGCUCUAGGGCUCUGACGGGAAAGGCCUGCAAGGGCUACCAGAGGACGAGCUCGCGGCCCAUCAGCUAGUUGGUGAGGUAAUGGCUCACCAAGGCGAAGACGGGUAGCUGGUCUGAGAGGAUGAUCAGCCACACUGGAACUGAGACACGGUCCAGACUCCUACGGGAGGCAGCAGUGGGGAAUAUUGCACAAUGGGCGAAAGCCUGACGCAGCCACGCCGCGUGUGCGAUGAAGGUCUUCGGAUCGUAAAGCACUGUGGGGGAGAAGAACAAAGCUAGGUGAAGAGCCAGCCCUGACGGUAUCCCCUUAGCAAGCACCGGCUAACUCCGUGCCAG
rnacentral:rRNA from 1 species